CUUCUUGUUAUAAGACAAGUCGGGAAAGUUUUUCGCUAAGGGAUCAGUCUAUGUUCCAUCAGCUUGUUGGUGAGGUAAUGGCUCACCAAGGCUAUGACGGAUAUCUGGUUUGAGAGGAUGAUCAGACACACUGGAACUGAGACACGGUCCAGACUCCUACGGGAGGCAGCAGUGAGGAAUAUUGCACAAUGGAGGAAACUCUGAUGCAGCAACGCCGCGUGGAGGAUGACGCAUUUCGGUGUGUAAACUCCUUUUAUUAGGGAAGAUAAUGACGGUACCUAAUGAAUAAGCACCGGCUAACUCCGUGCCAGCAGCCGCGGUAAUACGGAGGGUGCAAGCGUUACUCGGAAUCACUGGGCGUAAAGGGUGCGUAGGCUGGCUUUUAAGUCAGAUGUGAAAUCCAAUGGCUCAACCAUUGAACUGCAUUUGAAACUGAAAGCCUAGAGUUCAGAAGGGGCAGAUGGAAUUAGUGGUGUAGGGGUAAAAUCCGUAGAUAUCACUAGGAAUAUCAAAAGCGAAGGCGAUCUGCUGGGAUGAUACUGACGCUG
rnacentral:rRNA from 1 species